ensembl:lncRNA
AUGAAUAAUAUCACAGCGUCAUGUGGAGAGAUUCAGUCUGCUGUGGGGUUUGUGUAUGUGAUUCUGCCUGUUGUACUGAAUAAAACCAACAAUCCUGACUGUGAGCAGAGCUGGUAUUCACAGGAUGGGCGUGUGAUAGCAGAUCCAUCAGAUCCUCAAACACUGAUUGAUCCUGUUAUGUCUGUCUCAUCUGAUCGUCUCGUCACUUCUUACUGUGUGGAUGAACUUGGUCAUGAGAUCAUCUGUGAUACUUCAGGAGUAAAUGAUUUCUCUCUCAACAUCACGCUCAUCUGAUUUCAUAUUUAAUUAAUCUUGAACACUAUAAAUGCUGCUCUAAUGCUUCUGUCUUUCAUCACAGUUCAGAAUGGAGACCAUGUUCAGAGGUGAGAGAAACACUUCAGCUCUAGUGAUGUUAAUGACAGACAGUUCACUCAAAAUGUCCCUCAUAUCAUUCCAAAUGACUUUCUUUCUUCUGGAAAACACAGAAGAAGAUGCUUUGAGAGAUGGCUCAGUAUUUUUGUUCUCACAGUGAAAGUCACAGAGGUUUGGAAGGACCUGAGAGAGAGAGAAUGAUGACAGAAGAUUAAUUUCAGCUGUCCCUGUGUUUUUCAGUGAGGAAUGAGACGGACCCCAUCAGCGGAUCCACACAAACUCCAAACUCAUGUGAGUUCAGCUGAUGAUUGAAAUGAUGUCUGCAUGUGUCAAAUAAAAGACAUACUCACUCCAAAGUUUAGUGAAAGUGAAGAAUUUUAUACUGUUUUAUCAGGUUUUGUUGGUUUAUUAAUUCAGUUCAUUUGAUAAUUGUAUUGUGUUUUAUUGUAUUUCUUGUAUAGAUCGGUUGUGGUGGCUUUUUGCUUUGUCGUCAUUGUUCUUAUCAUCAUCAUGAUCUGUUUCAUGCUGUGGUACAGGUGAGGUUCUUCUUAUGACUGUUAGAAACCAAGAUCUUUAUGUUAAAUUAAAUUUGUAAAAUGAAAGCUAAUUUGAACUUUUUGUGUUGGGACUGCAUUAAUCAUUUGUGUUGCACUAACUGAAACUGGAUCUGUAGUUUGCAGCAUGCUUUGCUUUGCUUCGUGAAAAUCCUUUUAUAAAUCUCAGUCAGGGGAAGAUCUCCACCCCGACACCUCCCCGAAAUCACCAUAUGUGGAGCUUGCAACGCCUAGUUUUACUAUGCAUAACCUCAUCUGCAUAUCAUUUCCAUGCAUAUUCCCAUCCACGUGAUACCAUGUUUAACUCCGUUAAAGGUACAAGACAUCAAGGAAAUAUGAGAUACGGAGUAUAAAUGCCAUUUUUAUUGCUAAAAAUCAUCCAGUAUUCUUGUUAUGUUUUAGCAUAAAUACCUCUUUGCAGCUGUUGUUGUACAGUAAGAUUAUCACUGGACCGAUUCAAACUAGACAAUAUAGACCGUUCCACUGAAUCCAGCAGUGUCCGCCACAGUAUCGAAGUCUUUGAAGAUCACUGUUCUCAACAAAAUAUUUUCUCAUAACAUGAGAUAUGCAGUUUAGUUUGAAGAUGAAUUAUUGUGCACCUAUAGCACUCCUCACUGUUAUUAAAACAGCAUACCACAGGAAAAGUGAUCAAGCGCAUCUACUACCCAGACAGCAAGCAGUUUCAGCCCAGAUCCGGCCAACAUCUGGCCCGCAUGAAAUACAUAAAAUACCUAAAUUCGUAUAAUUUUUAACUUCUGCGUAAUGACUUUAUGUAAUUUCAGUGUUUAUCUCCAUUAAUGCGAGUGGAAUAUUUAAUGUAAAUGUGUAUAUCGACAUGAAAACAGAUUUUAAAAUCAUUGUUUACUUCAUUACUUUUCUCACUCCAGGAAAAAGAGAGCGUACACAUGCUCUAUAAUGUCCGUACGUUGCGUACAUAUUUACUCCAAGUUUAUUUUUUUAUAAAUCCCGAUACGUGCAUGGAAAAUUGCGUACGCAUUUUCUAUGCCCAUUUUGCGUGCACGCAAUGUUUAUAAAUGAGACCCCUGGCCUCUUCAUCCUGUUCAACUGAUGCACAGAACAGUUUUAACACCACUUCCUAGCACAAAAAUAUAAUACAAGAAAUAAACAGAAAUGCUGUUUAAAGAGAUUUCAUUUAAAUAGGUCUGUGAUGCUAUGCCAGCUAUUCAGCUCAAGUAGAUGAGAUGAAUUUGUACUGCAGCUGCUGCAGAUCGCACAGAUAUGUAAUGCAAUUAACCCCACCUCAGCUCUGAGGUUGUUCGUUGGUUGUGUGUACACUUGUUGAUUCCUAGUGGAAAAACUACAUUACCCAUGAUUCUGUCAGAACUCUCCACCAGAGAACUGCAGUGAAACAACACCAACAGCGUAUAAAUAGCAGUAUAAAAAUGUAUUACCACUAUAGUGUUGAUAUAGAAGAUACGAGAAGUAACUUUUGAUUGAAAAUCAAAAAAUUCUGUUGUGAAAGACAAAAAGCCUUUAAUAAAAUGGUAUAUGAUUAAAAUAAAAUAUAAAAUGCUUUAUUGAUGCUGUUCACUUUAAAUAAUUCAUUUUGAUUUAACACUACGGAUGGUUUCAAACACAACUGAUUGUUCAACAUGUUAAACUGCCUUGAAAAAGGUUUUUUUUUCUGAUUGUUUUGCGAUCACAUCAUUUGCUAUGUUCACGUAUUAAACUGAGACGAUGUGCAUCAAAGUUUUAAUGGGAAAAAAGAGUUUGAAACAGUCGUCAUCUCUGCCGCACAGCAGCUCUGACACACACCUUAUAAACGCAGCUCCGCUGUGCAGCGCGAGAGAGACGUGUGAAGUGAAAGUGCUGAAAAACAGCGUCUAUUUCGUGCUCAACUUGAACAAACUAGAACAGGUAAAGCUGUCAGCUGUGUGGAUACUGGCAAUGUCGUUAACAGUUCUCGUUUAUAAUCAUUAAUAAUAUGGCUUCUUAUCAAGAUCUUAGGUCUAUACGGUGUUCUGUUAAUGUGUGAACUUCAUUAUUUGAAUCGCGCUGGCCGUCCAGUAAUCGCAAAAAGCUUUGUGCUUUGUUACUUUUUAAUAAACAAAGUACCAGCUUUAAAAUUAUUCCAAAUUCAUAACGAAAUUCAAACAAUAAAUACAGUUUUGGCGAUCUUUAAUGAGGCAGGCGUGGUCGCAAGUAACCCAUUUAAUCUUUCUCUUUACUAAUAUAGUACAUAAUGAUCAUGAAUUAACAUCAAAAGGUAGGCAAUUUAAAACAGAGCCUACAGUACAACUUACUGAAAUGUCUCAUGUAUAAGCUCAUUCAGUGUUUCAAACUGUGGAAAACGUGUAAAGCUUGUAAACAUUGCAACAUAAUAUAGAUUUACCUCCGAAUAACCAUUCGGUGUCCAUAAGCUCAUCAGUCAGCUAGAAAAAUAACUAUAAAGCAUAUUGCUAUAUUUAUGUGCUAUUAUUGCAUAUUAAUAUUUUGACUUAACCAGUUGUCUACAUGAUUCAACUCCUAUUAAAUUGUAUUUUACUAAUUAAGAAAAACAGUUUGAACGUGUGAAAGACAUUUUGGUUGCACAAAGAACUAUUCAGUCAAAGGUUCUUUAAAGAAAUAUUUAUUUUCUUAACUUUUUAUAAUCUGAAAAAUGUUCUUUUGCCACAAAAAACCUUUUGUGAAAUGUAAAGGUUCUUCAGA